GGAUCAAUAGCUCAAAUGGAUAGAGCAAUACCCUGUCGAGGUAUAGGUUGUCGGAUCAUACCCGAUUUGGUCCG
rnacentral:tRNA from 1 species